rnacentral:rRNA from 1 species
UACGUAGGUGGCAAGCGUUGUCCGGAUUUACUGGGCGUAAAGAGCGCGCAGGCGGUCGUUCAAGUCGCGUGUGAAAGCCCCGGGCUCAACCUGGGAAUUGCAUUUGAGACUGCAUAGCUAGGAUGCGGAAGAGGGAAGUGGAAUUUCCGGUGUAGCGGUGAAAUGCGUAGAUAUCGGAAGGAACAUCAGUGGCGAAAGCGACUUCCUGGUCCAGCAUCGACGUUCAGGCACGAAAGCGUGGGGAGCAAACAGG